AUCUCCCUGCUGUGCGCGUGGACCUGACAGAGGAAAGAGCCAACACCACGACAUAGGGAGUCCGGCCUCUGGAUGUGGAUUGUAGGCCCUCCUUGGAGAGGGAAACAUGAAUCAUCCAGGAGGACACCCACCUUUGAGGGCCGGGUCUCUGUUCCUUGUCAGUACACGGCAUGGCGGGGUUUUU
rfam:Thermosediminibacter oceani DSM 16646, complete genome.